CUGUGGUGAAGGAGCUGUGGUAGCUGCAGAGCUGGGCGAGGAAAGCGGGCAGCGGCAGAUGAAGGAGCAACCAUGUUCGAUGGAAGGGUGCAGCUUCUGUUCCUGCACUCCUUAGAGCAACCACCAGUCAGUCUGGGUGUCAGCUGCACGUCCACCAGCAGAUGUGAAUUUGCAGUUGAGAAGAACAAAAGACUUUCUUCUGAGUGCAGGUGCCAUGAAUAAAAUGACCAUGGAGGUGGAAUCCUUUAUUAAAAAAAACCAACAACAUUCUGUGCAUCAGCAGAGCUGGACAGACUGCAUACAAGUGUGAAGUGAUGGCUAUAACAGCAGCAUGGGACUCUUGCAAAGGCGUGUGUUACAGCCCCUGGCUUUUCUGCACAUCUGUCUGCUGGGUUUUCAUCUCCAUCUGAAACUCCUCCCUGCAGGACGUUGAGCUGCACGAUGCAGGGAUCCCUUGCUGGUGGUUUCCUGCUGCUCACUUGCACACAGAGGAGUGGGUUCUGUCUCCCAAUGAAGCAGCAGUUUUCCUACAGGCUACAGCACUGCUGCCUUCCCUGCAUCCUUGCCUGUCUUUCAUGUUUUAAAUUUGACACAUUU